GACGAACGCUGGCGGCGUGCUUAACACAUGCGAGCCGAACGGAAAGGCCCUGCUUUUGUGGGGUGCUCGAGUGGCGAACGGGUGAGUAACACGUGAGUAACCUGCCCUUGACUUUGGGAUAACUUCAGGAAACUGGGGCUAAUACCGGAUAGGAGCUCCUGCUGCAUGGUGGGGGUUGGAAAGUUUCGGCGGUUGGGGAUGGACUCGCGGCUUAUCAGCUUGUUGGUGGGGUAGUGGCUUACCAAGGCUUUGACGGGUAGCCGGCCUGAGAGGGUGACCGGCCACAUUGGGACUGAGAUACGGCCCAGACUCCUACGGGAGGCAGCAGUGGGGAAUAUUGCACAAUGGGCGGAAGCCUGAUGCAGCAACGCCGCGUGCGGGAUGACGGCCUUCGGGUUGUAAACCGCUUUCGCCUGUGACGAAGCGUGAGUGACGGUAAUGGGUAAAGAAGCACCGGCUAACUACGUG
rnacentral:rRNA from 1 species